rnacentral:rRNA from 1 species
AGAGUUUGAUCAUGGCUCAGAGCGAACGCUGGCGGCAGGCCUAACACAUGCAAGUCGAGCGCCGUAGCAAUACGGAGCGGCAGACGGGAGAGUAACACGUGGGAACGUACCUUUUGGUUCGGAACAACCCAGGGAAACUUGGGCUAAUACCGGAUAAGCCCUUACGGGGAAAGAUUUAUCGCCGAAAGAUCGGCCCGCGUCUGAUUAGCUAGUUGGUGAGGUAAUGGCUCACCAAGGCGACGAUCAGUAGCUGGUCUGAGAGGAUGAUCAGCCACAUUGGGACUGAGACACGGCCCAAACUCCUACGGGAGGCAGCAGUGGGGAAUAUUGGACAAUGGGGGCAACCCUGAUCCAGCCAUGCCGCGUGAGUGAUGAAGGCCCUAGGGUUGUAAAGCUCUUUUGUGCGGGAAGAUAAUGACGGUACCGCAAGAAUAAAGCCCCGGCUAACUUCGUGCCAGCAGCCGCGGUAAUACGAAGGGGGCUAGCGUUGCUCGGAAUCACUGGGCGUAAAGGGUGCGUAGGCGGGUCUUUAAGUCAGGGGUGAAAUCCUGGAGCUCAACUCCAGAACUGCCUUUGAUACUGAAGAUCUUGAGUCCGGGAGAGGUGAGUGGAACUGCGAGUGUAGAGGUGAAAUUCGUAGAUAUUCGCAAGAACACCAGUGGCGAAGGCGGCUCACUGGCCCGGUACUGACGCUGAGGCACGAAAGCGUGGGGAGCAAACAGGAUUAGAUACCCUAGUAGUCC